AAGUUAGCGAUGAUUAUAAAAGUAAUUCUUCAUUUUGACAUACUUAAUUUGAACAUAAAAAACUUCUUAUUACAAUCAUAAAAUCUGAGCUCC
rnacentral:snoRNA from 1 species